rnacentral:rRNA from 1 species
GCCGGAAGACCAAGGGUUCCUGUCCAACGUUAAUCGGGGCAGGGUGAGUCGACCCCUAAGGCGAGGCCGAAAGGCGUAGUCGAUGGGAAACAGGUUAAUAUUCCUGUACUUGGUGUUACUGCGAAGGGGGGACGGAGAAGGCUAUGUUGGCCGGGCGACGGUUGUCCCGGUUUAAGCGUGUAGGCUGGUUUUCCAGGCAAAUCCGGAAAAUCAAGGCUGAGGCGUGAUGACGAGGCACUACGGUGCUGAAGCAACAAAUGCCCUGCUUCCAGGAAAAGCCUCUAAGCAUCAGGUAACAUCAAAUCGUACCCCAAACCGACACAGGUGGUCAGGUAGAGAAUACCAAGGCGCUUGAGAGAACUCGGGUGAAGGAACUAGGCAAAAUGGUGCCGUAACUUCGGGAGAA